rnacentral:rRNA from 1 species
GACGAAGGGGGCUAGCGUUGUUCGGAAUUACUGGGCGUAAAGCGCGUGUAGGUGGUUGUCCAAGUUGGACGUGAAAGCCUUGAGCUCAACUCAAGAAAUGCAUUCAGGACUGGGCGACUAGAGGACCGGAGAGGAUAGUGGAAUUCCCAGUGUAGUGGUGAAAUACGUAGAGAUUGGGAAGAACACCAGUGGCGAAGGCGGCUAUCUGGACGGUUUCUGACACUAAGAACGCGAAAGCGUGGGGAGCAAACAGG